rnacentral:lncRNA from 1 species
CAGAUCAGUUUACAGUUUCAAUUAUUAGCAAAUGUCUUAUGAAAAGCAGUAAUUAGAGUUUAUUCUCACAGAUCAAAGUUUUCACUACAGUUUCAGUUUACUCUAACUAGAGGGUUUCAGUACAAUCUUUUAUCUAUAAUAGUCUAAGAAUUUUCUACCUACUGUAUUCCAGUUUAAAACAGUCAAUAGUAUCAAGGAAACUUAUGGAUUCGAUGCCGAAGAUUCAGUGUGCCACACAAUUUAUAAACCUUCCA